UUUUUUUUUUUUUUGAGACAGAGUCUCGCUCUGUCGCCCAGGCUGGAGUGCAGUGGCCGGAUCUCAGCUCACUGCAAGCUCCGCCUCCCGGGUUUACACCAUUCUCCUGCCUCAGCCUCCCGAGUAGCUGGGACUACAGGCGCCUGCCACCUCGCCCGGUUAGUUUUUUGUAUUUUUUAGUAGAGACGGGGUUUCACUGUGUCAGCCAGGAUAGUCUCGAUCUCCUGACCUUGUGAUCCGCCCGUCUCGGCCUCCCAAAGUGCUGGGAUUACAGGCGUGAGCCACUGUGCCCAGCCUUUUUUUUUUUUUUUUUUUUUUGUGACAGUCUUACUCUGUUACCCAGGCUGGAGUGCAGUGGUGUUAUCUCAGCAAACUGCAACCUCUGCCUUCCAGGUUCCAGGUGAUCCUCCUACCUCAGCCUCCCAAGUAGCUGGGACUACAGGCACCCACCACCACGUUCAGCUAAUUUUUCUAUUUUUUUGUAGAGACAGGGUUUCGCCAUGUUGCCCAGGCUGGUCUCCAACUUCUGGUCUCCCAAAGUGCUGGGAUUACAGGCAUGAGCCACUAUAUCUGGCCAGGAAUUUCUUUAAUGUGAAGAGAUGAGGAAGAAUAAUCGUGAAUAGUCUAAAGCAAUCAACUAGCAUCUCAAGCAGAGGGGCAUAAAGAAGAGUUGGCAGCACUGACUCCAGAUGGUGAUAAGUUUGCAGGACUCCUACUGGACUACUCAUGAGGACAAACAGAGGCCAAGGAACCAACCUUGGCCCUGUCCUCAUGGUUCUACAUAGGAUUCUGGGAUACAGAUGGAAGGACAGCAGUUUUUCAAUUUCUCCCUGUGCAAAUAUGAUGGUUUUUCCAACUCCCAAGUACCAGCCCCAUGUUUGCCAUCCCCGUUUGCUUUGAGGAAGUGCUGUCACACCCCAGUUCAUGAUCUCUGUGAAAGAUCCUCAGGUACCCAGAUGGGAGUUCUGGAGCAUGAACCCUCCAUGAUCAGCUCCAUGCCUGUUUCCUGCUGUUCUCUCAGCAGCUCCCAGUCCCCAGCAGCAGCAGUUAACCUCUUUGGGCUCUGAUCCAGAUCCUGAACUUAAAAAUAAUUAGAACCUGGAUCCCAAUAUUGUCCAAAGGAUAAUAGAACAGCACAAUUCUAUGCACUGGUGCAUGACUCCUUCCUCUCUGACUGAUGUAAUGAGAAUCAGGUGUGAAAUAAAUGGAUGACCAUGACUCUCUCUCUCAAAACAGGAAAAAAAAACAAAAAGAUAUGGGGACCACGGUAAAGGGAGUCUCACUUGAAAUUUGAAGCAUCAUAAAAAUAAUGACAGUAUCUGUUUAUAACAUUUUUAAAUAACGUAAAUCUUCCUGACGCCACACUGAUAGACAAAUCUACAUUCUUCUUUACAAAAGAAUUAAUAAAUGUUGAAGGAAUGUUAGAAUUUGAAAAUGGCCAUUCUUAAAGUAGGAGAUUAGACAUAUUGUCACUCAUAGGCAUCUCUGCAUCCUUCAUGUGAAAUUUUUUUUUUUUUUUGAGACAGAGUUUUGCUUGGUCACCCAGGCUGGAGGGCAACGGCAUGAUCUUGGCUUACUGCAGCCUCUGCCUCCCAGGUUUGAGCCAUUCUCCUGCCUCAGCUUCUCGAGUAGCUGUCACUACCACGCCUGGCUAACUUUUUUGUGUUUUUAGUAGAGACAGGGUUUCACCAUGUUAAUCAGGCUGGUCUCGAACUCCUGACCUCAAAUGAUUCACCUGGCUUGCCCUCCCAAAGUGUUGGGAUUACAGGCAUAAGCCACUGCAGCAGGACGUUUCACGUGGACUUUAAGAACCUGGCCCAGAUCCUUCCGGCAUAGCCCUGAAGUCCCCAAGUUUAGAGGCAUCAACUGACCUGUCCAGGUUCUUUCAAGGACUGCUUUACGCUGCUCUAUUCACUUCCAACAGUUUGAACUUAAACCAAGGCCUGGUCUUGGGCUCCCAAAGCAUUGCCAUCCUUCCUGGUUGGGAC
rnacentral:lncRNA from 1 species